rnacentral:rRNA from 1 species
AUUNNNCGCUGGCGGCAUGCCUUACACAUGCAAGUCGAACGGUAACGCGGGGGCAACCCUGGCGACGAGUGGCGAACGGGUGAGUAGCGCAUCGGAACGUGCCCAGUAGUGGGGGAUAGCUCGGCGAAAGCCGGAUUAAUACCGCAUACGACCUACGGGUGAAAGCGGGGGACCGCAAGGCCUCGCGCUAUUGGAGCGGCCGAUGCCCGAUUAGCUAGUUGGUGAGGUAAAGGCUCACCAAGGCAACGAUCGGUAGCUGGUCUGAGAGGACGACCAGCCACACUGGGACUGAGACACGGCCCAGACUCCUACGGGAGGCAGCAGUGGGGAAUUUUGGACAAUGGGGGAAACCCUGAUCCAGCCAUGCNNNGUGCGGGAAGAAGGCCUUCGGGUUGUAAACCGCUUUUGGCAGGAACNAAACGGCGCGCGCUAAUACCGCGCGCUAAUGACGGUACCUGCAGAAUAAGCACCGGCUAACUACGUGCCAGCAGCCGCGGUAAUACGUAGGGUGCAAGCGUUAAUCNGAAUUACUGGGCGUAAAGCGUACGCAGGCGGCUGUGC